UUUGCUUGGUGUUGGGGCCCUACAGCCGAUGUAGGCCCUCAAAGGUAGUGGCGGACCCUC
rnacentral:rRNA from 1 species